UACGGAGGGUGCGAGCGUUGUCCGGAAUUAUUGGGUUUAAAGGGUGCGUAGGCGGCCUUGUAAGUCAGGGGUGAAAGACGGUAGCUCAACUAUCGCAGUGCCUUUGAUACUGCAGGGCUUGAAUGUACUUGAGGUAGGCGGAAUGUGACAAGUAGCGGUGAAAUGCAUAGAUAUGUCACAGAACACCAAUUGCGAAGGCAGCUUACUAAAGUAUGAUUGACGCUGAGGCACGAAAGCGUGGGGAUCAAACAGG
rnacentral:rRNA from 1 species